rnacentral:tRNA from 1 species
GCCAGCAUAGCUCAGAUGGCCAGAGCGACUGAUUCGUAAUCAGUAGGUCGGGGGUUCGANNAAGGAUUAUUUCGUAAUCAGUAGGUCGGGGGUUCGAAUCCCCCUGCUGGCU